rnacentral:lncRNA from 1 species
CACAUAUCAAACCCAUUCGAUGCACAUGCAUAAAUAAACUAGCACAUAUAUUCCAUACACAAAUGGCAUGCAUGCGUUUCAUACAUAAUCAUACUUUUGGAGUUAUCAGAACACAAAUCAUACAUAGAUUUUUCACAUACCUUACCUGUAUCACAUACAAACAAAUCAAUAGUUUUCACAUUUCAAGUUUUAUUUAAGCCAAAUGGACCUCACGGAAGGUCUGACUACGAAUUUCAAAGUUAAACAGGCCUAAGUGAAAAUUUCUAGAAAAUGGGCCCACACGGCCAGAAUGGCUAGCCCGUGUAGCCCACACGACCUACCUAAUCUGCCCGUUUGAUUGCACAUGCCCGUGUGCCCUACACGGCCUCACCCACGCCCAUGUGGCCCACAUGCCAGUAUAUCCCACACGACCUCCACACGACUGUGUGACAUUGACAGUGUGUUUUUCUGCUUUCUUCUGUUCACUAUUAUUACGAGUUUGAGUCACACACCUGAUUAGUUUUUUAUGCCGAUUCAACAUUCGCAAUUCCAGAACCUAAAAUCGUUGUUCAAAAUAGACUAAUUAGCACGAUUUUACCAAAUUCGACUCACUAAUACAACAUAAUCAUUGUCAAAUGAAUUUAAUUACUGAAAACCAACCCCUACCACAGUGGAGAAUUACUUACCCUUGCACCAACAAUAGCUCCAAAUCGCAAUUAAACCGCUGGAGAAUCGUCGCACACUUCACGUUCUUCUUCUACCAAAAACCAAAACAAUAAUUACUCACAUACCUUUCUUGAAACAUAAAAUAACAACAAUGACACCAUUAACAAAAGAAUACAAAAUCACUUACCUAAAUAAGAAUACCCCAACUUCAUACUCAGAUUCGCACAACUACAAUUGUACCCAAAAAGAAAUGACUAUCUUGGCAAAAACAUACUAAUGACAACAAUAAAAUAGGAAAAACAAAUAGUAAAGAAUUAAAGUUAUCACUUGCGACUGAAGAACUAACAAAGAAACAAAAUAGAGCGAAAAGAGAGCCUGAAAGAGAAAAAUGGAAGAGAAGAGACGAUAAGAAGAAUUUUUGGUAACUCCAAGAGAUUAACGUGAAAAGGAAUAAAACUCAAUGAUGGAGAAAGAGAGAGAAGAGAGUGGGAAGUUUUUGAGAAGUUUUAGGAGAUAAUCUCUCCUUUUCUUUGUUUUUAAAAACUACCCACUAACUCCUAUAAUUAUCCACAUUAGAUUCUUUUCUUCAGAUUUUAAAACAAAAAUAAACUCUACUUCGCACAUACAAGAUUCAAACAUAAGACUCAAACAUAAGACCUCUAGGUAAGCUAAUGCCUUAGCACUGAACCAAUAAGCUCGUUCUUGCUAACAAUUAAGUGAAAUAAAAUUUUAAGCCAGAAAUUCAAAGAUAGGGAUUUAGGAAAAAAUAGAAAAAAUGCAAGGCAAGGGAUUCGAACUCAAAACCUUUCGCUUAUAAGCACAGCACUUAACCAUUAAACUAGAUCACUUCACUUGUAUUAAUUACCACAACCUUUACUCAAAAAAAUGACGUGACCACUCUUGGUUUCACUAACCCAAUUUCUUCUAACCCGGUUUUUGGGAUGUGACGUGUCUUUUGUAUUUUUGUCUUUCAUAUUUUGCAUACAUAGCAAAAUCGUGACAAACAAAUAUUAGUUCAUUGAUUGUCUAAUUUCAAACUGAUGAUAAGUGACACUAUAAGAACGCUUACUUCAGUAGAUAAUCUAAAUGAGUUCGUAAUCCCGUAAAAGAAUCAAAGUGAGCAUUUGAUUCAAUACUUAAAAGGAUUAUUAUGUCGUCUACAAUUUCAAUUGGGGAGAUGACUAGUCUUAGCUAUCGGAGCAGUUGACUCCACGGGUAGAGAUAUAGAAGUAUUCAUCAGAAGAAUGACACAUUAGGCUGAACCCAAUAUGAAAUAAUUCUGAAUCCAUUUGUGAAUUAAUUCACUUGUGAUGUUCAUGGUGUGCUUUACCUAAAUCCUGAGUUAGUCACUAACCAUGCGUAUGUAACUCAUGUGCUUUGAUAUAAGUGGAGGCUUAAACUCUAAAGAUGAUCGAGCCCAUAGCCGGUAUGUUGGGUACAUGACUUGUCUAUGACAUGGCUAUACUAGCAACAAUGUAAUUCAUAGCUCAAUUAAAGAGUUAAUGAUAUCCUCUCGUCGGCAAUAUUCGAAUUGAUAAAUAUGAAACAUGACCAUAAAUUACUUGACACAUCAUACUUGUAUAUUCUUUGCUCUUUUAUAAAACUCACAUAUUCCACAAACAUAUUCAUUUAUCAUACUUGUUCAUUUUGCAUGUUUAAUAGUCAUGUCUUACUCUUUCUUUUUCAACAUGAUUCUUAUAAUAAUUUAACUGUCACACAACUUAUAACUUUUCUCAUCUAGCAUACUUUCCUGUUAGCAUCUUACUCAACUAUUUUAUGUUGAAUUUAAAUACUUAAACAUCUAAUUUAAGAUAAGAUAUCCACAUAUACACCUUUAUAUAACAUUCUUUAUCAUGUCAUAUAAUUGCAUUAAUAUCACUUAUCAGAUUUUCAUUUCACUAGUUUCAUCACUUAUCAAAUGACCUUUUUUUUAUUUCAUCUCAUAUAUACAAGUAAAAUUUUAAAAAUUCAGUCUUAAAAAAAAAGGACAACCUUCGUUUACUGAAGUCAAAAUUAAGAUUAUAUUUUUCUUUUUGAAACUACACUCAAUUACCUUUUUACCAUUAAAAAAAAAUCAGAUUUUAACUUCAUUCAUACCAGUUUCUUUUUAAAGUUGACUCAGGGAUGCUACUUGGAAGAUUGAAUCUACUUCACUAAAUUCUAAUUUUCUCCUAGUACAGAACUUAGAAUCUAAUUCCGUUUAUUUUUUUUUUUUAUGAAGCUAGAGUCAUAAGCUUUUCGAGCGUAUAAACUUCAUAUUCUAAUUUUAAUGAUUUAAGAAUAGAAAAAUUCGAAAUCAUUAUGACCUUCUCUCACUAAAACUAAUAUAUCUCAUCAUUUCUUCUAUGUAAAACUAGACUCGUUAAGCUUCAAUUUCAUGUUUGGUUCAAUAUUUAACUAAAUUUCUAAAAAAAAUUUAAUGAAUUUUCAAAUUUGAAUUACUGCUGCUGUUUUUUUUUCCAAAACAGCUUACAUAUCGUGUGCAUAUAAAAUUUGUUUAUACUUGUAAUCUCCAUGUCACUUUAACUUCUAAACUUAACUCAUCAUAGUAUAUUAGUAUUUAAACAUUUUACUAAUUUAUUUUACAUUAAACAUAAACAUUUGACAUCAAAUUUAAGGUAAACCUACAUGGAAUCAAUAAAAUACUUACCUAUUUCUUCACUUGAAAUCAACAGCUUUUCCUUUUCUUGAAUAACUUUUCUUUCAGCUUUUUCUUCUUUCAC